AAAGCUUUAAGUUAAAAUAAACUAUUAACCUUCAAAGUUAAAUAUAUUUCAUUAAAAUAAGCUUUA
rnacentral:tRNA from 1 species